UACGUAGGCAGCGAGCGUUGUUCGGAAUUACUGGGCGUAAAGAGUGUGUAGGCGGUGUUCCAAGUCUGGUGUGAAAUCUCCCGGCUCAACUGGGAGGGUGCGCCGGAAACUGGAAUGCUAGAGGGUGGGAGAGGUAAGCGGAAUUCCUGGUGUAGCGGUGAAAUGCGUAGAUAUCGUAAGGAAGACCAGUGGCGAAGGCGGGUCUCUGGACAGUUCCUGACGCUGAGGCACGAAGGUCAGGGGAGCAAACGGG
rnacentral:rRNA from 1 species